AUCUAGGUGUUUUAAGUUAAAAUUUUAAUUUGUGGGGUUAAAGAUGUAGAUAAGUUUUACUCUAGAUA
rnacentral:tRNA from 1 species